GACGUAGGGGGCGAGCGUUGUCCGGAUUCAUUGGGCGUAAAGAGCGCGUAGGCGGUUCGGAAAGUCGGAUGUGAAAACUCGGAGCUCAACUCCGGGCCUGCAUCCGAUACUCUCGGACUAGAGGUAGGUAGGGGAGAUCGGAAUUCCCGGUGUAGCGGUGAAAUGCGCAGAUAUCGGGAGGAACACCAGCGGCGAAGGCGGCACUCUGGGCUGGAACUGACGCUGAGGAGCGAAAGCGUGGGUAGCAAACGGG
rnacentral:rRNA from 1 species